GAUGGACGUGGUCCAGCCCACCAGUGACACAGCAGCAAACUUAAUACCCAUCUUUGCUGCGAGGCCAAAACAAACGGUUGGUCUAAGCAACUGGAAGAAGACGUGGGUUGACCAGAAGCUGAUUUCUUUAUUGAGAAGUUGAGAAAGAUUUGGCUUUUUUCUGUUCUGAAGCUGGUGUUAGCGGCAAGAUGGAGAAAUGAGGGCCCAUCAGGAGUAGACAACAAGCUGAAACACCUAAUGGACCGGUGUGACCCUGAGGAGAGGCCUUGAGCCCUUGCUGGGAGCCUCAGGGUUCUGUCUGUGUUUUUCAAGGUUGGAAUGAGAGCUGU